CUUGCUAAACUGGACAUAGUGGCUUACGCCUGUAAUCCCAGCACUUUGGGAGGUCAAGGCACCAGGAGUUCAAGACCAGCUUGAGCAACAUAGUGAGACCCCAUCUGUAAAAGACAAAACUAAACCAAAAACAAACAAACAAUAAAGCUUAGUAAACUGAUGGAAAAACUCAAUCUCCAAUGAACUAAAGUUUUACCCUCUCUGGGACUCUCCUUCACCAUCUGUAAAAUGAAGCCAGGGCUCAUUUACGUGGGAUUCCCAUGAGGAUCAAGUAAAACUGUGCUGGAAGACUUUAGCACAACACAUUCCUGUCUGGCAGCAGAAGGGGAUCAGCCUUGAGGUAUAAAAUUCUGGGUUGCAAUCAGUGGUGUGCUGAUAACAGCUGGCCCCAGCGAAAUGGCACAAGCCAGCUCAGCAUGGCUCGAUUUAUGUGAAGUUUCUAGAAGAGGCUAAACUAAUCUAUGGUGAGAAAAGUCAGGACAAUGCUUGCCUCUGGAGGGGGUGGCAGCAGGGAUUGAUAAGGAAAGGGCAUGAGGGAACUGUCUCAGGUGAUGGUCGUGUUUAAUGUUUUGAUAGGGGUUUACAUUUGUCAAAAUUCUUUGAAUGAUACACUUGAGAUUUAUACAUUUCACUGUAUACAAUUUUACUUAAAACUGUAAAUAUUGAACUCUAGUUAAUGAUAUGUACGCUGAAUUAUCUAGAAGCGAAGUGCACUGAAAUCUGCAACUUACUUUGAAUUGCACCAAAAAAUAACAUGGAUUGAUGGACAGAUAGAAACAUGGAUAGAUGAAAAGAGAUGAGAUAAAGCCAGGUUAACAACAUGUAACAGUCUGGGUGUAGGGUAUAUUGGCACUUACCAAACAAUUCUUUGUAUCUUCUGUAUGCUUGAAGAUUUAAUUAUGAAAAAUGUUGAGGAAACAUACUGAGCAUAUCUUACAUACAAAGUUGUUUAUCUUUGCCCCAUUGCUUCUAGUAGUUUCAUUUACAUAUAUUGAUUAUAAUUUUAUCCACUAAUGACUUUUACUUUGCAGAGAAAACUAGGAAGUAGAUAACUAUGAACUGUCUAUCAUAGAGCAGGCUAGCAAAGCUUAUGAAUAUAUAUCUCACAAUCUAGUUGAUACAAUAUUGGCUUAUUCGACUAGUAAACCUGUACACAUUUAGGAAGAACAUACCAAGUAGAAAGAAGUGUAUACUUCUGUUAUACUUAAUGGUAAUAACUCAUAAAACAUAGCUAUUUUUAUUAAGCCAACAAUAUUAAGCUAAUUUUGUUUGCCAAAGAUUUACCUAAAUUAGGUAACUUGAAUUUUUUUUUUUUAGAUGAAUUUCCUUCUUGUUGCCCAGGCUGGAGUGCAGUGGUGUGCUCAUGGCUCACCGCAACUUCCGCCUCCUGGGUUCAAGCGAUUCUCCUGCCUCAGCCUCCCGAGUAGCUGGGAUUAUAGGCAUGCACCACCACGCCCGGCUAAUUUUGUAUUUUUAGUAAAGAUGGAGUUUCACCACGUUGACCAGGCUGGUCUUGAACUCCUGACCUCAGGUGAUCCACCCGCCUUAGCCUCCCAAAGUGCUGGGAUUACAGGUGUGAGCCACCACGCCCGGCAGUAAAUUGAAUUUUUAAAACAUUUAUGUUAGGUUUUAGAGAAUACUUUUUCCCCCACACUGGAAGUAUUAGAAGUUCAGAUUUUUUUUUUCUGACAGUUUUAGGGUUUUUAAGGAAUUUUAUAAAUUAAUUUGAUAGUAUCAUCCAGAGGUAGAAAAAUAUCACAUAUGCAUAAAAUAAAUACAUAAACAUACAGGCAGAUGCAAAUAAAGAUCUUACAGGUUUCAUUCUAAAAUUUUAGCCACGAUUCAGGCAUAAACACAGAAAUACAAAACUCACUAGUCAAUACAACAGAGUUGGCUCAUUGUCUUUGCCCCACUUUGUAUUUUUAUCAGAAUUCUGUUUCUGGCAGACGGGACAAGUUGAGGUUUACCUAUUCAACAUGAGGGCUAAAGCUUCCCAUCAAUAUUUCUGGAGGAGACCUUUUUUUUCUUUUCUUUUUUUUUUUUUUUUUUUUGAGACGGAGUCUCACUCUGUUGUCCAGGCUGGAGUGCUGGAGUGCAGUGGCGUGAUCUCGGCUCACUGCAAGCUCCGCCUCCUGGGUUCAUGCCAUUCUCCUGCCUC
rnacentral:lncRNA from 10 species